rnacentral:rRNA from 1 species
AUGUGGGAAGAAUGCUUGCCUCAUAUUGAGUUUGCUUAUAAUCGUUCAUUGCAUUCUACUACUAAGAUGUGCCCUUUUGAAAUUGUGUAUGGUUUCCUACCUCGUGCACCUAUUGAUUUGUUGCCUCUUCCAUCUUCGGAGAAGGUUAAUUUUGAUGCUAAACAACGUGCUGAAUUGAUCUUAAAAAUGCAUGAGUUAACUAAGGAAAACAUUGAGCGUAUGAAUGCUAAAUAUAAACUUGCUGGAGAUAAGGGUAGAAAACAUGUUGUGUUUGCACCUGGAGAUCUUGUUUGGUUACAUUUGCGUAAGGAUAGAUUUCCUGAUUUGCGCAAAUCAAAGCUAAUGCCACGUGCUGAUGGUCCUUUUAAGGUGUUAGAGAAAAUAAAUGAUAAUGCAUAUAAACUUGAGCUGCCUGCAGAUUUUGGGGUCAGUCCCACUUUUAAUAUUGCAGAUUUGAAGCCUUAUUUGGGUGAGGAAGAUGAGCUUCCGUCGAGGACGACUUCAUUUCAAGAAGGGGAGGAUGAUGAGGACAUCAAUACAAUUGUUACACCCACAGGCCCUGCUGCUAUACAUACUGGACCAAUUACUAGAGCUCGCGCACGCCAAUUAAAUUACCAGGAAACAGACCCUCGUGGUCAGGUUGAUCGUGCUCCGGCGUGGUCGAUAACCUCUCGGAGUUGGUUUAGCGAUUGCUAA